UACGUAGGGACCAAGCGUUGUUCGGAUUUACUGGGCGUAAAGGGCGCGUAGGCGGCGCGGUAAGUCACUUGUGAAAUCUCUGAGCUUAACUCAGGACGGCCAAGUGAUACUGCAGUGCUAGAGUGUGGAAGGGGCAAUCGGAAUUCUUGGUGUAGCGGUGAAAUGCGUAGAUAUCAAGAGGAACACCUGAGGUGAAGACGGGUUGCUGGGCCAACACUGACGCUGAGGCGCGAAAGCCAGGGGAGCAAACGGG
rnacentral:rRNA from 1 species